UACGAAGGGGCUAGCGUUGUUCGGAAUUACUGGCGUAAAGCGCGCGCAGGCGGUCUUCCAAGUCAGUGGUGAAAGCCCGGAGCUCAACUCCGGAACUGCCAUUGAAACUGUAAGACUUGAGGACGAGAGAGGUGAGUGGAAUUCCCAGUGUAGAGGUGAAAUUCGUAGAUAUUGGGAAGAACACCGGUGGCGAAGGCGGCUCACUGGCUCGUAUCUGACGCUCAGGCGCGACAGCGUGGGGAUCAAACAGG
rnacentral:rRNA from 1 species